UGUGCUUCAAUUCAUUCAAGAUGUUCUCUGUAGGAAAAAUGAAAUUAUUUCGCCAACAACUGAUGUGUCACCAUGGCAAAGAGACCCACGCGGGCAUCAAGAAGACCUACACAGGUUGCAAGGUGUUCAUGGAUGCUACCAUCCGGUUGGUUCAUGCAAGAUCUCCUGAAGAUAUAAGAAGUUUUCCAUGCUUCAUGAAGAUUACUGGACAGCAUAACCACCCCUUAGAUACAGCUGAUGUAUUAAAUCAGCUGAGAGUUUCUCCAUGCACCAGAGAGAUGUUUGAAAACUAUUUCAGACAAGGUAUGGCACCUGGACAAGCCUACAGGCACCAUUUGCUGUAGAUGGAACUCGACGAAGACUUGUACAAUCAAGCCAAGAAAUCAAUAAAUCCUUCUCCGAAGUCCGUCGAGUAUAUGUGGAGUACAUGGAAGAAAAAGGAACAUGGAGGACUGAAUACGCCGUCAAUGUUUGAUGCCAUCAAGACAUACGCUGAAAAAAAUCCGGACCUCAUUAUAAAGAUACACAAUGAAGGGAAUCAAUUUGCAGUUGUUUUAGUCACCCCAUUCAUGAUGAGGGCACACAAGCUGUUGCAAGAAGCUGGAGAAGUUGUAUUUGUUGAUGCAACAAGUUGUGUUGAUCAGGUCAACACAGCAGUGAUACCACUUCUCUGUUCAGGACCAGCUGGGGCUGUACCAUUGGCUGUCCUGUUCACCUCAUCUCAAGAUGAAGCAACACUAACAAAAGGAUUUGGUAUGGUAAAGGAGGCGAUUGGGGAGGAUGGAUUUUUUGGUCAAGGAGGUCCACAAAAUUUCAUGACAGACAACUGCAAUGCAGAAAGAAAUGCAUUGGCAGCCAUUUGGCCUAAUUCAAAACAAUACCUCUGCAUUUUUCAUGUUCUCCAACAAGUAUGGCGCUGGCU